rnacentral:rRNA from 1 species
CGUCAAGUCAUCAUGGCCCUUACGACCAGGGCUACACACGUGCUACAAUGGCGCAUACAAAGAGAAGCGACCUCGCGAGAGCAAGCGGACCUCAUAAAGUGCGUCGUAGUCCGGAUUGGAGUCUGCAACUCGACUCCAUGAAGUCGGAAUCGCUAGUAAUCGUGGAUCAGAAUGCCACGGUGAAUACGUUCCCGGGCCUUGUACACACCGCCCGUCACACCAUGGGAGUGGGUUGCAAAAGAAGUAGGUAGCUUAACCUUCGGGAGGGCGCUUACCACUUUGUGAUUCAUGACUGGGGUGAAGUCGUAACAAGGUAACCGUAGGGGAACCUGCGGUUGGAUCAC